GCAAAAUAAUAAUAAUACCUCGUUAAAAAUAUAUAUGGGCUGCACAUUGAAUUAUUCCUUUUGAGAGUUUGGCGGGUAAUGGAAUUUAUCCCAUUGCUUUUGCAACUCCAGGGAGGUAUCGUUCUCUCGUUUUUCUAAUUUUUAAAAUAAAAUCAGUCUCUUCCCUUAAUUUCGCAAGGACAAAUCUGCACUUCAGUGGAUUAAACCUGAAAUAUAGGUUAACUGUCUGGAAGGCCCUUUAAGACGAUGGAAGUCUACCUGCAGGGAUCUGGGCAAAACUGCUGUUUGCUUCUGGAAAUCAGGACCAAGAGUCUCCACAGAGAAGGGACUAGAAUACGAUGGAGGUGGAGGAGGAAAGAGGCUUUCUAGGUCACUGUCCACAGGAUUCCCAGCAUCGUUGUCACCUGGAGGAGCAGAGAGAAAAGUGGGGGGAGAGACCACAUGGAGAUGGACCGCACCGAGGCCCUGAAAGAUCCCG